AACCGCGGACGGCACCCCUCGGCUCCUCGCAUCUCCGGACCCCACCGGAGUCCCCACCAGCUCUCACCUCCCUCAUCUCUCCGCUUUCAAGGUUCUUGCAGCUGGUCCGCUAUUAGGAUCCCCCGCCAGGCAGCCGGCUCUCAGCCUUCGCUCCCCUCCUCCUGCCCCUUCGCCACUCCUGUCACUACCUCUCGGGGGUCCCUUCUCAGAGACCCUCUCCCGACUGAUCACCUGCGGAUCCCCAUUACUGCCCCCGGCACUGAAAAAGUCCUGAAGCCAGGUCAGAGACCCAAGGCAGAGACCAGAGCGGCGGAGGAGGGAGAAGGAGGAAGUCGGAGAGAAUUUGAGAGGCCGCUCGGAGACGGACAGGCCCUGGGAGCAGCAGCAAAUCUGAGGGAGGCACGUGCGCACAGGCACAAGAGCGCACACAGGCGCACCACUCCUGAGUCGGGGGUAUGGGUACCGCGCCCCCAGCCCCUGGCACGCAGGUCUGCGCUGGUGUCCCUAGGAGCCGGAGAGGGUGCAGGUCCCAGGGCCACAUAGUCCACAGUUCUGCGGUGGGACCCGCGCGUCCGGAGCGCAGUUCUCCGCAGAGCAGCCUCUGUGCUCAGGCGCCCGCGGCAACCGUGACGCUCCUGCGCCCCCUGCUGUCCCAUUGCGGCGGCGCAGCCCGGCCCUGUUUGCCGUCGGCCUGGGGGAGGGUCGGGGGAGAGUCGGGGGAGAGCGGAGAAGGGAGUGUCACCUGGGCCAUUUCCCUGCCUGGACCCACCCGGUUCCUCCUUCGCUUGGGAUUAGAUCAGCUAAGGCUGUAGGAUGUGUCUGGACUGGAGGGUGCGCUUAGGUCUUGCCUGGCCUUUGCCAGCGACUUGCUGCAUGACCUUGAUCAGAUCCCCUUCCCAGCUUCAGGGCCUCAGUUUCCCCAUCUCUUUCACAAGGCUGCCAGGAUAAUCAGCCCCGAUAAUGAAGGGAAGGCAGCCAGAGUCCCCUGACAGCCCUUGCUGUGGCAUGACCUGAAUCCUUCCCGCUGCACUGCAGGCUUCUCUCUCUGCAACUACCCCCACCCUACACACACACGCACACACGCACACACGCGCCUCCUGGAGGGUGACUCAGUGAGCCCCCAGCCUCCCCACCUCCCCACAAGGAUUGGGCUGAUUCAUCUGGACCCUUUCUCCCUGGGGAGUGAUUUCCUCAAUGUUGAGUCACUGGACACGGUCCAGGCACCUGGCACCCAGGCUAGGCAGAGCCCUGGCUGUGCCACUAGCUCAGGGGAAGGACCUCCACGCCAGGAUUUCUCCCACCGCUCUUUCUGAAGCCCAGCUUUGGACAUGCUGCUUCCCCUGCUCAGACCCCUUCAGUGACUCCAUACCACCAGCACAAUAAAGCCCAAACUCUCAGCCUGACAUGGCAGACUCUCUGUAACUUAGCUCUGACUUGUUUUUCCAGCUUUGACCUUCUUGCCACCAUUCCUUAAAGUUAUACUUCCUGCUCUA